rnacentral:lncRNA from 1 species
UCUUUUAUUCUCCCACCCAUUUUCUUGAAGUCCUAGCCUAAACAUCAUUCCAUAUAUUUUAUUUCUCACUUAAAAUAAGUAGGAAAACUCCAUCCAAGCUCGAUUUCUCCAUCAAUCUCAUUAUUUCAAGACCUAGGGUUUAUGGGUCUAGUAGAGAAAGAUAUGGCUAGAGAUAGAAAACUCCUAGUAAGGUAAGAAAAUAAGUCUCUACCAUUUCCAUCUUUGAUAUUUGAGAUGUAGGGAGCAAGGAAUUUGGUUGAGCAAAUUGUAAUGAUUUUUGUAUGUAUGUUUUUGUGAUGGGGGAGAGAGAUUGGUAGAAGAGAGCUUUAAGCUAUGAAAGAAGUGGACUUGAGUGUUGAGAUUGUAAGAGAAAAGCUUUAUUUUGAUUUUAGUUCAUGUCAGAGGUAAGUGUUUUUGAAUUUUCUAAUCUUUCCUUUAAUAACAUGAUAAUGUAUAAGAAUAAUUAGUAGAUUAAAUGGUUAAACUAAUUAUGUGUAUUAAUAUGCUAAGAACCAUAGCUUGAUAUGUUGAGAUAUAUAGCAAUACGAAUGGUUAUAUUAAAGAGUCUAGGCAUAAAUUCCAUGAAAAUGAGCUAGUAAUGUGUUACGGAUAUUUGAAUGACAUGG